CAGGACCAAGCCGUAGGGGGAGGAGGCCACCAUCUAUUGAUGCCACUCAGCUGGACAGCGAGUGGCAAUUCCCCUCCCUUAAUGAAGACACCCAGCCAGGCCUGUUUCUUCACAGCCAGCCAUUAACUCAUGAUUCACCGUCGUCAGAAACCCCA